CCCAGGAUCUUUACCGUGAAAAAAUUAGAGUGUUCAAAGCAGGCAGAUCCAAUUUUCUGCCACCGAAUACAUUAGCAUGGGAUAAUGGAAUAGGACCCUGUCCUCCUAUUUUCAGUUGGUUUUGGCAGCGCGAGGACUAGGGUAAUGAUUAAUAGGGAUAGUUGGGGGCAUUAAUAUUUAAUUGUCAGAGGUGAAAUUCUUGGAUUUAUGAAAGAUUAACUUCUGCGAAAGCAUCUGCCAAGGAUGUUUUCAUUAAUCAAGAACGAAAGUUAGGGGAUCGAAGACGAUCAGAUACCGUCGUAGUCUUAACCAUAAACGAUGCCGACCAGCGAUUAGGAGACGUUGAAUACAAAACACCACCAUCGGUGCGGUCGUCCUUGGCGCGUUGGUCUUCAAAAGCCAGCGCGCGGGGGCGGCUUAGCCCGGUGGCACCGGUGAAUGACUCCCUAGCGCCUUUGUGAG
rnacentral:rRNA from 1 species